rnacentral:rRNA from 1 species
GAUGAACGCUGGCGGCGUGCCUAAUACAUGCAAGUCGAGCGAACUGAUUAGAAGCUUGCUUCUAUGACGUUAGCGGCGGACGGGUGAGUAACACGUGGGCAACCUGCCUGUAAGACUGGGAUAACUUCGGGAAACCGAAGCUAAUACCGGAUAGGAUCUUCUCCUUCAUGGGAGAUGAUUGAAAGAUGGUUUCGGCUAUCACUUACAGAUGGGCCCGCGGUGCAUUAGCUAGUUGGUGAGGUAACGGCUCACCCAGGCAACGAUGCAUAGCCGACCUCGGAGGUUGAUCGGCCACACGGGGACUGAGACACGGCCCAGACUCCGACGGGAGGCAGCAGUAGGGAAUCUUCCGCAAUGGACGAAAGUCUGACGGAGCAACGCCGCGUGAGUGAUGAAGGCUUUCGGGUCGUAAAACUCUGUUGUUAGGGAAGAACAAGUACGAGAGUAACUGCUCGUACCUUGACGGUACCUAACCAGAAAGCCACGGCUAACUACGUGCCAGCCGCCGCGGUAA